AGUGAACGCUGGCGGUAGGCCUAACACAUGCAAGUCGAACGGCAGCACAGGAGAGCUUGCUCUCUGGGUGGCGAGUGGCGGACGGGUGAGGAAUACAUCGGAAUCUACUCUGUCGUGGGGGAUAACGUAGGGAAACUUACGCUAAUACCGCAUACGACCUACGGGUGAAAGCAGGGGACCUUCGGGCCUUGCGCGAUUGAAUGAGCCGAUGUCGGAUUAGCUAGUUGGCGGGGUAAAGGCCCACCAAGGCGACGAUCCGUAGCUGGUCUGAGAGGAGGAUCAGCCACACUGGAACUGAGACACGGUCCAGACGCCUACGGGAGGCAGCAGUGGGAAAUAUUGGACAAUGGGCGCAAGCCUGAUCCAGCCAUACCGCGUGGGUGAAGAAGGCCUUCGGGUUGUAAAGCCCUUUUGUUGGGAAAGAAAUCCAGCUGGCUAAUACCCGGUUGGGAUGACGGUACCCAAAGAAUAAGCACCGGCUAACUUCGUGCCAGCCGCCGCCGUAA
rnacentral:rRNA from 1 species